rnacentral:rRNA from 14 species
AUCACUAUCAGGAGAAACCACAGCCAAGGGAACGGGCUUGGAAGAAUCAGUGGAGAAAGAAUAAGACCCUGUCGAGCUUGA